ensembl:lncRNA
UGAUCAUGUCCGCAUAUAUACCGCGCGCCUCCCAGUACACAACGCGGAAGAGUAAUACUUUAAAGUUAGUUUAGGGCGUGGCGUAGUUAUAGUCACGGGCCAUGGUUAGAGUGAAUUCGCGCUGGAUUAUCCGCUUCCAGUCCCUCGUCAUAGUUCGUUUUGUUUAUCGACCCUGUUUUCCGUGACCACGACCUAGAUUCCUGCCUUGCCCCGUGUAUGCCUGUUUGCCAGUCGCCUGACCUCUUGCAUGUUUAUGGAUUACGUUUUGGAUUUGUCUGCCUGUCUCUUUCAAAUAAACAACUGUUCAUCCUGCACUUGUAUCCGUCCUAUCUCCGCUCCGUCACGAUUCGUGACCGUGUCGGUCAGUUACGCAGGAGUCUCUAAGAUCGCGGCUGUGUAUCAGAGCGCUGUGUAAUUUUAGGCGAUUCGUCGAUUCUCGUUUUAAAGCACCGCUGAAGCUUUAUAUUUUAUUUUGGAGAAUACUUCAAAGAGGAGAUGGCCGUCUAACGUAACAGUGAUGCUGACAUUGUGUCUAUCCCGGACAUCGUAGACGAAAUCAAUCUUCUGAACAAGGCAAGCGGGUCGAACACAGAAGUCCCGCGAGUCAGGUUGGAAAACCCCGUGUUGGGCUUGUCAAAUCUUGUAAACAAGAUUGCUGCACCCGAGUUCAAAACUAGUGCUGCGGUUUCUACUGAACGCGGUAUACCAACGAGCUCUGGAAAGGCCAAGCGUAGAACAGUCGCUCAGGUCCACAGCGCGGGUGUCGCGACGUCUAAACGUAAACGAUAGACAGACGGUAUGUAGCAUGUGUAUAAAAUUUUUUUUUUUUUACUUUUUUUUUUUAAAUAUAUAAAGUUUCAUCAUCCUAAUUCGUGCCGGUAUCCUAAGCAAUGUUUUGUGGGGUCAACCCCCCCCAAGAGAGUCAGCUGUGAAUGAACCGAGCGCUAUAGACUCUUGUUUGAACUGGAAUCAGGACCUGUUUGAUUCGUGGCACGCUUGAGUAUUUACCCCGGUUCCUGGAGACGAUCUGCCUUCAAAACAAGAAGCAUUUGGUCGCGAGGCUACUGUUAUAGACAAUAACAGAGACUCGGUGGAUGUGAUACGAACCGUCUGGGCAUUAUAGAAAAUAAUCAGCGUCUUUAUAAUCAAAGUGUUGUGGAAUCAUUACAAAACCAUAUCACACAUAAACAAAUCAUAGCAACCCAGAAGCUUCUUGCUGGGGAGAUUCGACACGUUGAUCACAAUCAACACCUGACGACAAAAUUGUUAAACAGUUUGCACAGCUGGUUAAAAACAAGAAACUCGGGUGAGUUGUACAAUAAGUAUUUUCUAUGUGUGUGUUUAUUUGCUGGUUCGUAUCUGUUUUACUGUAUGUGAGGAGUGUUGGUUUUUUUUUUUUUUUUUUUUUUAAACUAGGAUUUGUUUCAAUGUAAAAAUGUCAAAGCGGUGUGGUGAAAACUCGUGUAAUCUGGGAGCAGCAGUUAAAUUUAGAUGUGACAACGAUGGUCUGUGUACUUUUGAACAGCGUGGCAAUACAGAGACGUUACAGGGUUUAAUUCGGACAAUGGAGGAUCUGAAUAGACAGCAGUCUACCACCGAUACUUUGUUGGACUUAUUAAGCAGUGUUAGAUCAAUGGCUGAGGUUCAAACAGAACCAAUGCUUAAUUCGUUGUUAGACAGCGAUUCAAAUUCACAGCAGGUGAGGUGGGGGUCAGACAGUCAAUCGUUUAAUCCUUUGGAGCCAAAUUUUGGGUUAUCCGAAGCCGCUAUUGAGUCUGUCGUAAGAGAGGGUGGGUCUGUUGGUGGUUAUACGGUGGUACCGAGAUGCCGAUUUAAUGGAUUGGAGAUACAGCGUCGUAUAAACAUGCGUGUGAUAACCGCGCCAGACCUGGCUGCGUACACUCUCUGCAUGAUAUCAUGUCUGAAAUAGUGUCGUUUUCCAGACUGCUGGCCGGUGAUGGGGGGGCUUAAUCAACAUUACAGUGAGAGGCCCUAGUCUACCCUCUGAUGUUAACGCUGUCUUGUCACCUGACAACGAUUGCGAUUUGCACAUAUUCACACAACAACUUGAGAACAUUAUGCAAAGUAAUUCUGACGUAAGGGCUGAUGAAUGUCUAGAUCUGAACGUGUCUAUAGCUCGCGGUAAACACAGUGGUGCUUAUCGAAAGAUACGUGAUUUAGCUCAUAAUGAGGUGAUUGCCAGAAACAGAAUCAAUCUGUUAUGCCUCAACAACAUAUCUAACAAUCUGUUUUGCAGUCUCUGUCCCAUUUUCUACAACCGCAUGCGCCAUGUAGUGAUCUGGAGUCGUUAGCUGCGUCUCUACAGAAAACUGCAGGGUAUUCAUUACAGCAAAAGAUAGGGUUUAAUGACAUCACACGGUUUGAACAGUUGUUACUUGUUAAAAUAGUGGUGUUCCAUAGAACAUCUUCUGGUCUGUUGGAAUACUUUACGAACAAUGACAAGCCUCAUAAUAAGACUGUGUUCUUGUAUCUACACAACGAACAUUAUUUCUUGAUUAAGAACCUAAAAGCAUUCAUUGGUACACCGUAUGUGUGCGAAUACUGCUAUCAUGGUUUUACUAGCUGUAGAGACCACAGAUGUAAAUACAUUUGCGAUGUAUGUAAUGCACCUGAUUGUCAUAAAUACGUUGGCAAAACGAGGCAAUGUCACGAUUGUUUGCGGUACUGCAGAUCAGCCUACUGUUACAAUGCGCAUAAACAAAUGCAAACAGGACAACAGUACGUUCAGUGUGAUGUCACUAAAUACUGUCAGAAAUGUAAUGGGCGAUAUCACGUCAACGGAGCCGCACCCAAAAACGUGUGCCCUGCAGAACACUGUGUCCAUUGUAAAGCUGAAUUGGUUAAUGACUGAGUACACCAAUGUUUCAUACAACCGAUGAAAAUGGAACCACCUAGCGACAAAUACAUUUAUGAUUGUGAGACACAACACACAGACGGUAAACGCGUUACAAAUUUCGUAUGCGCCAUUACAUUUAAAGGGGAAGAGUUCACAGCCGCUGGUACAGACUGUAUAGAUCAACUUGUUAAAAGUUUAGAGAGCCUCAUUAUUAGGUUUACACAUGGGUUGCACACAGCGCUUCAGGGUUUGACAAUUUUAUACUAUCAGAAUAUUUUGCAAAAGCAGGGCUAACGCUCCAAAUUACUAUGCAUUUUAAUGUAUGAUAAGACAUUCAAGCAACAUUUCAUCGAUAGCUACUCUUUCAUCCCUAUGUGUCUGUCCAUGACAUCUGCCGUGUUAACCUGUGCUGAGAGCUCACUUUCCACAUCUGUUCAAUAGAAUAGAAAAUGAAGACUACGUAGGCCCAUACCCUGACGAGCAUUUCUUCGGCUAUGAGACAAUGUCUGACAAAGCAAAGAGGGCUCUGUUUGAGUGGUAUGUUACGUUGUCGGGUAAGGUUUUUGAUUUAAAAAAAGAGCUCGCCAUGUACGGCAAGAACGAUGUAGUUUUGCUCCGUGAGGCAUGCAUGAAGUACCGUGACGAAUUCAUACAAUGUACCAAACUCGACCCAUUCAGAUAAACCACUUCAGCAGCAUGCUGCAUGGCCGUGUAUAAAACCCACUACUUAGCAAAAGACACACUAGCUCUGACCCAUAACGAUGCAUACACAAAUCAGAACAAGACGUACUCAGCCGUUUCCAUUGAAUGGCUUGAAUGUCAAAACAUGCGUGUGAACAUUUUAACACACUUUAAAUCAUGGAGAGAUGGUGAUUGUAAAAUAUCAUCUCAAUGGUUAUUAUGAAAAGGAUGGUGUCAAAUACGGUUUCGAAUUCAACGGAUGCAUGUUUCACGGGCAUGAAUGUCGUUAUAACCCAAACCAUUUGCAUCCAUUAUCAAAAGUGCCGUACAGUUUGCUCAGAAGACAGUUUGAUGAUCAGGUCGAAAUUUUGGAAAAGGCGUAUGGUCUCGAUGUUGAGGUGAUGUGGGAAUGUGAUUGGAAUAAUGCUAAACAGAACGAUGUCGCUAUAAUGGCAUUUAUUUCCACUUGCACACAUCCUGAAUGAUUGAAAUCGUGCAACACACUAUAUGGUGGUCGCACUAACGUGUACAAAUUGUAUCACAAAGCCGACAAUAGUGAAAAAAUACAAUAUGUCGACUUUACAAGUUUGUACCCCUUUUGCCGGGCCAAAAAAGUUACCCCAUAGGGCAUCCGCAAAUAAUUUUCAAGGAUUUUGAACCUCUUAAAUUAUUAUGGGUUUGUCAAGGCUACAGUACUGCCACCACGAAAACUGCUUCACCCUGUCCUUCCCUAUAGGACCGGUGGUAAGCUUGUUUCCACUUUAUCGUACAUGUGCCGAACAUCAGAAUCAGACAGACCCAUGUCGUCAUACUGAUGAGGAAAGAGCUAUUUCAGGGUGUUGGUUCAGCAUAGAGCUGUUGAAAGGUGUGGAGAUGGGUUAUAUUGUAACAAACGUGGACGAGGUGUGGCAUUUUCCACAACGGUCAAACUUUGUUUUAUGAUUGUUAAAACAUUUUUACAAUAUAAACAGAGGCCAGCGGUUUCCCCGCACAUGUUAUGACAGACGCAGACAAGGAAUCCUACAUCUCAGACUACUUUGAGAAAGAGGGGAUUAAGAUGGACGCUGGUAAGAUAAGUCGCAACCCAGCACGCCGUUCUAUUAACAAACUUCUGCUGAACUCACUUUGGGGUCGUUUCUCCAUGCGUGAAAACUUGCCGUGUACGGAGUUAAUUUUGGACCCGGAACAAUUUACACAGCACAUAUUCGGUGACGGUUAUAAUGUUCAACACUUUUCCUUCGUUUCAGACAGCGUGGCUCUAAUUCAGUGGUGUUAUGUGGAUGGUAAAGGGGGGCAGACUCGCGACAUCAACAUCUUUCUUGCGGCUUUCACAACAGCUCAUGCCCAUCUAGAACUUUACGAAUUAAUGGACAAAUUGGGUGACCGGCUGUUGUACAGUGACGCAGUGUGAUCUUUACAUCUAGCGAGGGCGAAUGGGAACCUUCGUUGGGCCCUUAUCUCGGUAAUUUAACUGACGAGUUUGGAGCUGGUGAUCAUAUUGUAGAAUUUUGUUCAGGCGGACCAAAAAC